GCAAAACGCGAAGAACCUUACCUGGCCUUGACAUACAGAGAACUUUCCAGAGAUGGAUUGGUGCCUUCGGGAACUCUGAUACAGGUGCUGCAUGGCUGUCGUCAGCUCGUGUCGUGAGAUGUUGGGUUAAGUCCCGCAACGAGCGCAACCCUUUUCCUUAUUUGCCAGCACUUCGGGUGGGAACUUUAAGGAUACUGCCAGUGACAAACUGGAGGAAGGCGGGGACGACGUCAAGUCAUCAUGGCCCUUACGGCCAGGGCUACACACGUGCUACAAUGGUCGGUACAGAGGGUUGCUACUGCGCGAGCAGAUGCUAAUCUCAAAAAGCCGAUCGUAGUCCGGAUCGCAGUCUGCAACUCGACUGCGUGAAGUCGGAAUCGCUAGUAAUCGCGGAUCAGCAUGUCGCGGUGAAUACGUUCCCGGGUCUUGUACACACCG
rnacentral:rRNA from 1 species